rnacentral:rRNA from 1 species
AGAGUUUGAUUAUGGCUCAGGAUGAACGCUGGCGGCGUGCUUAACACAUGCAAGUCGAGCGGAAAUAUUUAAAAGCUUGCUUUGAAUAUUUAGCGGCGGACGGGUGAGUAACGUGUGGGUAACCUGCCAUAUACUGUGGAAUAACCAUUUGAAAAGAUGACUAAUACCGCAUGUCGUCACCGAGGGGCAUCCCUUGGUGAAAAAAGGAGUAAUCCGGUAUAUGAUGGACCCGCAUCUGAUUAGCUAGUUGGUGAGAUAAUAGCUCACCAAGGCGACGAUCAGUAGCCGACCUGAGAGGGUGAUCGGCCACAUUGGGACUGAGACACGGCCCAAACUCCUACGGGAGGCAGCAGUGGGGAAUAUUGCACAAUGGGCGAAAGCCUGAAUGCAGCAACGCCGCGUGAAGGAAGAAGGGUUUCGGCUCGUAAACUUCUAUCAAUGGGGAAGAAAUAAAUGACGGUACCCAAAUAAGAAGCCCCGGCUAACUACGUGCCAGCAGCUGC